ACGAACGCUGGCGGCGUGCUUAACACAUGCAAGUCGUACGGUAAGGCCCUUUCGGGGGUCCACGAGUGGCGAACGGGUGAGUAACACGUGAGUAACCUGCCCACAACUUUGGGAUAACGCUAGGAAACUGGUGCUAAUACUGGAUAUGUGCUCCUGCUGCAUGGUGGGGGUUGGAAAGCUCCGGCGGUUGUGGAUGGACUCGCGGCCUAUCAGCUUGUUGGUGGGGUAGUGGCCUACCAAGGCGGCGACGGGUAGCCGGCCUGAGAGGGUGACCGGCCACAUUGGGACUGAGAUACGGCCCAGACUCCUACGGGAGGCAGCAGUGGGGAAUAUUGCACAAUGGGCGCAAGCCUGAUGCAGCAACGCCGCGUGCGGGAUGACGGCCUUCGGGUUGUAAACCGCUUUCAGCAGGGACGAAGCUUUUUGUGACGGUACCUGCAGAAGAAGCACCGGCUAACUACGUG
rnacentral:rRNA from 1 species